rnacentral:misc_RNA from 1 species
GUCGUAACAAGGUUUCCGUAGGUGAACCUGCGGAAGGAUCAUUACCACACCAAAAAAAAAACUUUUCCACGUGAACCUGUAAUGUGCAGUUUUUUGUCUAGUCGCCUCAUUUAUUUUUUUGAGGUGUCUAUGACUGAACGAAGGUGAUGCAAAAUUUAUUUAUUUUUUGCAUAUACCGAUGUUAUUCAACCCCCUAUUGUAUUGUGAUUAGAAUUUAAUAUUGCAGAAAUGAAAGUUUUUGCUCUAAAUUUUGAUACAACUUUCAACAGUGGAUGUCUAGGCUC